rnacentral:rRNA from 1 species
AUGGCUUUUUUCAAGCGGCUGUGCGAGAGCAGGCGCAAUGCCGCCGCUGCCGCGGCCAGCAUCUCCUUCCUGCUGCUCUUGCUCGUCGUCGUAUGCAUUUCCAUGCGCACGCGGCACGGCGGGACCUUCUUCUUUGGCUCGGGCGCCGGAGCGCGUGAGCAGGGGAGCUGCGAGGCGGAGCUGCAGGCGCUGGAGGGCCGCGCCGCGCGGUGCCGGUACCUCCGGUCGUCGUCCCACCCGCCGUGCGCGCCAACCGGGUACGUCGACUACCUCGCGCUCUUCUACUGCGCGUGCGGGGACGAGGAGGGGCUCUGGUGGUCACCGUGGCUGGGCGGCGCCGCGAUCGCGCUCUGGCUGCUCCUGCUCUUCUACCUUCUCGGCGACACCGCGUCGGAGUACUUCUGCGCCUCGCUCGAGGGCCUCUCCGCCGCGCUCCGCCUGCCGCCCGCCGUCGCCGGGGUCACGCUGCUCUCGCUCGGCAACGGCGCGCCCGACGUGCUCUCCAGCGUCGUGGCGUUCGCGUCGGACGGCGGGGAGGCCGGGGACGUGGGGCUCAGCGGCGCGCUCGGCGGCGCCCUGUUCGUGUCCACGGUCGUCGCCGGCGUGGUCGCCAUCGUCGCUGCUCGCCGCGGUGGCGCACUCAUUGAGCGGCGCGGGUUCGUGCGCGACGUGUGCUUUCUUCUCGUCGCGCUCUGCUACCUCCUCGCCGUGCUGGUCGCCGGCACGGUCACCGUCUGGGCGGCGGCGUGCUUCCUCUCCCUCUACGCCGGCUACGUCCUCCUCGUCUCGACAUCGCACUGCUGCUCCGCCGCCGCGGACGACGGCGGUAGCACCAACACAAUGAAGCCUUCCGAUGACCUCGCCGCCCCGCUCCUCCUUCCGGUCGCCGUCUCCUCGAAGCAGCCACCAAGAACCUUCGCCAGCGGCCUCUUGGCCGCAGUCCACGCGCCGAUCUACCUCCCGCGCCGCCUCACCAUUCCGGACAUCGCCGGGCACCGCUGGUCCAGGCCCAGCGCCGUGGCCUCGGCGCUCCUCUCCCCUCUCCUCCUCGCCGUAGUCACCUCCCCGACCAGCCCAACCGUGCUCCUCGCUGGCACCCUUACCGGCACGCUCCUCGCCAUCGGCGCGGCCGCGACCACGGACGCCGCAGCACCCCCACACGGCCGGUACGCCCGCCUCAUGUGGCUCAGCGGCGGGUUCCUCAUGUCCAUCCUCUGGUCCUACCUCCUGGCCCGGGAGCUCGUGGCCCUCCUCGUGUCCACCGGCAUCAUCGUGGGCGUGCCCGCGAGCGUGCUGGGGGUCACCGUGCUCGCGUGGGGCAACUCUCUCGGCGACCUGGUCGCCGACGUGGCGAUGGCAACGCAGGACGGCACGACAGGCGCCCAGACGGCGGUGGCGGGGUGCUACGCCGGGCCGGCCUUCAACACGGUGGUGGGGCUGGGCCUCUCGAUGGCACUGGCGGCGGGGGCGCGCUACCCGGAGCCGUACAAGAUCCCGGUGGAUGCGUCGACGUACAUGACGGUGGCGUUCCUGGUGGCCGGGCUAACAUGGGCGUUGGUGGUGCUGCCGGCGAGGGGGAUGAGGCUGGACGCCACACUCGGUGCUGGGCUGCUCGCCGUGUACCUCUGCUUCAUCGCCGUCCGGGUCGCCGACGCCGUCGGCGUCCUCAGCCUAGACUCUCUCCUGCCAAGACAGUGA